rnacentral:lncRNA from 10 species
GGCUCAGAGGCACUCUGCAGUCACACAGCUGGAGGGGUGCAGUGAGACGCGGAGGCUCCAAGUCUCUUCUGGACUAGGCCUGGAUCUGCCACCUCUUCUUUCGGCUGUGGAUGGCCCUGGGAGACACGCCUGGCCUCAGAUGCCCCUUGACCCAACUGGAGGAAGGGUGGGGGGCCCAGCAGAAAAGCCUGCAGCCUCCCUGGGCACCGUUUCAAAGCUGAUGCUGCUCUCCCUGCUCUGGGUCUCAGCUCCUCCCCUCUUCUGCAUUGUUGACCAACAGCCUGGGUCUGACGCGGAAGCAGAAGAAUUCCCAUUCAACUGGGCCCCAGGGAUGGGGGGCCUCUCUGCCAAAAGCAACAGGCUGCCCAACAGACCUCUCAUUGAUUGGAAGAGAAAUGAGCCCAGAGCCUCCUAACAACAGCCUUGGAGUGGACAGGAUGAUGAACAGUGAUGCCAAAGACUCAGGAUCUGAAGGCAGACAGGCCUGGUCCACCACCUGUGUCUGCCAUUUGCAGGAUGAGUGACCUUGAGUAGGUCACCUCACACCUCUGAACCUGAAUUCUACAUCUGCAAAACAGGAAUGAUGACCCUGACUGACAGCCUCCCUGUGAGGAGUAAGCCAUACAGCAUCCCUCCCUCCUUCACGUGACAAACUUUUCCUGAGUCCUGACCUCGGGGGCAGGAGCUGGAGAUACUACACUGGAUUAGAAAGAUGAGUUUCCAGUCAAGUGUGGGAGAGAGAAGUAGCCAGGAUGUAGAACCUGACAAGGGAAGAGUUCAGGAACUUGCCCAGUUGAGCAGCCAGUGAACGGGACAGCCCUGAGCACGGUGCACGUGAGAACACAGAGGGGACCCCUGGAGGGCCUGAUGUCCAGGUUCUGGGGUGGCUCGUGAGUGACAGCAGUACUGGUAUGCUGGUGAGUGCCUCAGCAGGAGCUCCCUCUGUCCCCCUACCAACUCCCCGAUGUCUGGACGGCACCAGAGCCCGCCUGGGAGGCCACGAGCUAACACUCUCAAGAGGAAAACAGGGGGAUCAAACCAAUGACCCAAGGGCCUACAGCUAAGAACUGCUGGAGCCAGGCUCUGAACUGAGCUCUGCCUGACUCCAGAGGUGGUUUCUACCACCAGGCAAUACAACAGGGAGACACGCAGGUGUGUCAGAGAGCAGUCCUCACAGUGCGAGCACAGAAACCAGAGGCCAAGGCUGAAGAUUUUCCUGGACUCGCGGUGCUGCCCAGGAAUCUUCUGAGAAAACCUGUCAGUUGGUAAAGCCACGUGGAGGCGGGGCUAACAAAAUCUGGAAAUGUCUUCACCAGUUCCAAAGUACACACAAACAUUACUUGCCCUCUCUGGGGGUCAACGUUCUUUAUGAUUUUUUUCUCUCCAGGAAAAUAUUAGUUCAUUUAUAGAAACUAAACAUUACAUGUGGAGGGAAAAUGGAAAACGUGGCAUUCUUGGCCUUUUUUCUCCACAGACACAGAAACUGAGAAGGUUUCUCCAUUUCCUUUCUCACAGCCUAUUUGUUGGUGUGGAACUGCCUGUGAAGUCAUUCUGCAGGGGUGGAAAGUGGGGGCCAGCUCUCUGUGGGCAACAGGGACCAUCCCAGAGACAAAGGGCAGCCUCAGCCCACAGACCACUUCGGACUUGAAUCAAGGCCUCAAAGGGCGAGACCUGGGCCACUGUCAAUGUGAGGGCAGGUAGGCUGGGUAGAGGGGUAGAGGCGUGGGCGCUGCCUAGAAGAGGGCCAGAGAGACCGCCCGGCACAUUGGUCUUGCUCCCACUGCCUCCUUUCAGCUCCUCAGUGUACCCAUCCUUGCCCCUGGCAGCUUUUGCUGCCUGGUUCCCCGACUAAAAUGUGAGCUUUGUGGGGAAGGUUCUUGCCUUGCUGGGCACCUGGCUCACAGCAAGUCCUUGGCCUGGAAGUCUUGGGUGAAUGAAUGAAUGAACAUGUCUUAGGGCCUCUCCUUUGCAGGUGUGGGGGAUGUGCCUACUGGAAAGGGCACCGAGCUGAAGCCUAAACCCCCUCCUGAGGAGCCAGGGAAGCCUGCGUUCCUCCCAUUCCCGGGACUGCAAGAGGCACAUUCCUGUCCCUGAGUCUGGUCAGGCUCCUGCCACGCAGCUCAGUCUGGCUGCCAGGUCCAGAAAGGCCUCCCUGGAGCUGCCCCUCUGGCCCCACCCUUCCCAGGACCCCAGGCCACCCCACAGCUGCAGCAGCACCCACUCUCUGUCUUCUGAGGCUGCUAGUGGGAAGCUGGGACCCCCGAGUGUGUCUGAAACCUUCCAGGCACUCCUCGACCCUCUAGUGAUCAAUGAAAACCUUCACAUCCUGCUUCCAGGGCUGAAGCCAGGGAUUUGGAAAAUUGGUGGAAAACACUCCUAUGAGCUGGGGCUUGCUCUGCUGUGGAAAACUGCCAGCAUCAGCACUUCUCCCAAGGCUGUGCCGAGUCAGCAGUCAGCCCACUCUGGAGCUGCCUCUGAGGACCAGGUGCCUACAGGACCCUGUAAGGAGCUUGAAGAGUUGUGGCUGACGGAGGGAUUUCUGUCCUGGGCUCUAGGAAUUCUAGACUGGGCCCUUCCUCAAGGAGCUUUCAGUCUGGCGGAGCAGACAGACAUGGGCAAAUAAGCCCACAACUAACUGUGCCAUCACUGCAGAAGGAAGUGCCACGGAGGAGCAUGAGGGCCAGUUGCAGGAAGGAGCCAGGGCCAGCAUGUGCCUGUAAAAGCCAGAUAGUAAAUAGUUCACGCUCUGCAGGCCACAGGGUCUUUGUCCCAAGCACUCAACUCUGCCACUGCUGCAUGAAAACAGCCACAGGCGAUAUGUCAACCAAAGAGGGGUGGUUGUGCCCAUAUGAAAACAGAGGGUGGAUCUGUCCCACAGUUUGCCACAGCCUGGCUGUUAGACGGCCUGACCUGAUUGGGGGUGGGGGUGAUAGUGGGGAGAAGGCUUCCCCGAGGCAGUGAUAUUUAGCUAAAAGCUGCAGGCUGAGGCAAUGAUGGAGGCAGAAUCACAAUAUGACAAUUAUGAUAAUCACAUCACCAUGAUCAAGUUCCACCUAACACGUGUGUUCUAUGUUGCGCACUGUGCUAAUAACAACACUACCCUGUGAAGGAGGAAGAUUUUAUGCCCACUUUACAGAUAGAGACACUGAGGCUUGGCAGUAUGCUGAGUAGUCUGUUCACACAAUUCAGCUGCAUUUUUUGC